ensembl:misc_RNA Metazoa_SRP Metazoan signal recognition particle RNA
ACCAGGUGUGAUGGCCUGUAGUCCUAGCUACUUAGGAAGCUGAGGUUGGAACAUCGCUUGAGCCCAGAAGUUCUGGACUGUAUUGUGCUAUGCCAAUCGGUGUCUAUAUAAGUUUGGCAUCAAUAUGGUAAUGGUAAUGCCCUGGGAACAGAGGACCACUAAGUUGCCUAAAGAGGGGUGAACUGGUCCAGGUCGGAAAUGGAGUAGAUCAAAACUCCCUUGCCAGAUCAGUAGUGUGAUCACCUGUAAAUAGCCACUGUAAUCCUGCCUGGGCAAGAUUUUAAUUUUUAAAUCUUUU